ACGGGUGAGUAACGCGUGGGUAACCUGCCUUGUACUGGGGGACGAACAGUUGGAAACGACUGCUAAUACCGCAUAAGCGCACAGCUUCGCAUGAAGCAGUGUGAAAAACUACCGGUGGUACAAGAUGGACCCGCGUCUGAUUAGCUGGUUGGUGAGGUAACGGCCCACCAAGGCAACGAUCAGUAGCCGGCCUGAGAGGGUGAACGGCCACAUUGGGACUGAGACACGGCCCAAACUCCUACGGGAGGCAGCAUG
rnacentral:rRNA from 1 species